GAAAAGGGCAGAAUCUGGCUGGAAAUCUGGUUCCUCAAGGUCCAGCAUUCAAGUGUGUCUCUGGUCAUGGCAAGUGUCACAGUGGGCACCUGUGUCACAACCUUCUCCAAGCAUUAACAACAUGAGCUUAAGCAUCGGGAUAAACCAGGAACAAUGUUUCAGGACCUGCCUACCUCAUAGUAGAUUUGGAGGAUCAGCUGAAAUAUUACAUGGGCCUGUGGUAUGGAAAAAACCAAGUCUAAAACAAAUGCAGGCAUUGGGAGGGUCUCAUCACCCAUCUUCUGGACACAGACGGUCCAGCACCUCACAUCCAUUCAGCACAAUAUCCAGUGUCCUCUCAGUAUAGAUGAUAUCCAGUUUCCUUCCCAAAAUCCCAUCUCCAUGUUGCCUCCUACCAAGCUUUUCCAUGUUUCUGUGAAUAGGCCUCACGUAGUCACUGAACCGCUUGCAGAGUAUGGAAAAAAUGCAUUCAGUGCACAGGUUUAAAUGCAUUCCUAAAUUGGCCAAACAAUUUGUCAUCCAAACUACGACAUUUUUGAGUGUUACUAAUGAUGAUGCUAGGGCAGCAGGUGUAAAUCAGGACUGUCCCAGGCAAGUAAGAGGAAUGAUCAUUCCACAUAUACCCCAUCAUAAAACCAUACUACUUCAUCCUCCAUGCACCAAUAUAUUUUAGGAACUAUAUCCUGAUUUAAAAAAAAAAAAAAACAGACACAGUUGGAUUGUUUGUGUGUACUGAAAGUGUUAUUUUGAUAAAUGCAAAAAUGUUAAAUAU